GCGGUGGUGGUGUAGCCGGUUAACAUAUCGCCCUGUCAAGGCGAAGAUCGCGGGUUCGAGUCCCGUCCACCGCG
rnacentral:tRNA from 1 species